UACAGAGGGGGCGAGCGUUGUUCGGAAUUACUGGGCGUAAAGGGCGCGUAGGCGGCCUUCUAAGUCGAACGUGAAAUCCCCGGGCUCAACCCGGGAACUGCGUCCGAUACUGGGAGGCUUGAAUCCGGGAGAGGGAUGUGGAAUUCCAGGUGUAGCGGUGAAAUGCGUAGAUAUCUGGAGGAACACCGGUGGCGAAGGCGGCAUCCUGGACCGGUAGUUGACGCUGAGGCGCGAAAGCCAGGGGAGCAACGGG
rnacentral:rRNA from 1 species